rnacentral:rRNA from 1 species
AGGGGGACAACAGUUGGAAACGACUGCUAAUACCGCAUAACAUAUAGAUGUCGCAUGGCAUUUAUAUCAAAGAUUUAUCGCUGAAAGAUGGCCUCGCGUCUGAUUAGCUAGUUGGUGAGGUAACGGCCCACCAAGGCGACGAUCAGUAGCCGGACUGAGAGGUUGAACGGCCACAUUGGGACUGAGAUACGGCCCAGACUCCUACGGGAGGCAGCAGUGGGGAAUAUUGGGCAAUGGGCGCAAGCCUGACCCAGCAACGCCGCGUGAAGGAAGAAGGCUUUCGGGUUGUAAACUUCUUUUGUCAGGGACGAGUAGAAGACGGUACCUGACGAAUAAGCCACGGCUAACUACGUGCCAGCAGCCGCGGUAAUACGUAGGUGGCAAGCGUUGUCCGGAUUU